AUUAGUUAUCCGAAACGUCAGGAGUUUUCCAAGGAGCAACACGGUAUUUCUGCUUUUAUUCCUUACUAGUUAAUCCAAUUGGUUUUAAAUUAUUUGAAAUAAAGAUUGGCUUUUAAAUUUUAACAAACACUGUAAGAGGACUACCCUAUCCACCUGCCUGACCACAUGGAUUAGCAUGCUAGCACAUAUCUGGACUGUUUGCUAUACACCUGGCUGUCAAGACUGUGCUCUCUUUCAUGAACUUGGACUGCAACCUCACUCUUUUGGAGGUAACCUGAGCAAUCUACCAUCUGGAACACUACUCUGUGGAUCUUUAACAUCAAACCCAACACAAGCAUGAGGUAUGCAAACCUAGGUCUGCGCUACAGGUUCCACCCAAGUGGGAGGGGUAGACCCAGGACAGUCCAAACCAUCAAGGGUGAUGAUGAGCAAGGGAAACAAAAAAGCUAACCAGCUUACAAAACCCAAUGCUGAGCCCUCCACCUCCACAGGUGUAGAACUGUCUGGGGCUCCUACUCCCUCCCCCCUACCUCUACACAAACCUUCACCUACACCACACUCUACACAACCCCUGUCCCCUAGGCCCCCUCCUCUUCUUCGGACUCCUACAGUCCCACUUCUCUCUCUCCCCCUCUUCUC